GAAGGAAAUUAAGUACGGAAGUUCCUGAUUUCACGCUGUCAAGAAAAGCCUCUAGGAAGAGUAGUACUGCCCGUACCGCAAACCGACACAGGUAGAUGAGGAGAGAAUCCUAAGGUGAGCGAGAGAACUCUCGUUAAGGAACUCGGCAAAAUGACCCCGUAACUUCGGGAGAAGGGGUGCUCUAUUAGGGUGCAAGCCCGAGAGAGCCGCAGUGAAUAGGCCCAGGCGACUGUUUAGCAAAAACACAGGUCUCUGCAAAACCGUAAGGUGACGUAUAGGGGCUGACGCCUGCCCGGUGCUGGAAGGUUAAGAGGAGUGCUUAGCUUCGGCGAAGGUACGAAUUGAAGCCCCAGUAAACGGCGGCCGUAACUAUAACGGUCCUAAGGUAGCGAAAUUCCUUGUCGGGUAAGUUCCGACCCGCACGAAAGGCGCAACGAUCUGGGCACUGUCUCAACGAGAGACUCGGUGAAAUUAUAGUACCUGUGAAGAUGCAGGUUACCCGCGACAGGACGGAAAGACCCCGUGGAGCUUUACUGC
rnacentral:rRNA from 1 species